GAUGAACGCUGGCGGCGUGCCUAAUACAUGCAAGUCGAGCGAACAGACGAGGAGCUUGCUCCUCUGACGUUAGCGGCGGACGGGUGAGUAACACGUGGAUAACCUACCUAUAAGACUGGGAUAACUUCGGGAAACCGGAGCUAAUACCGGAUAAUAUAUUGAACCGCAUGGUUCAAUAGUGAAAGACGGUUUUGCUGUCACUUAUAGAUGGAUCCGCGCCGCAUUAGCUAGUUGGUAAGGUAACGGCUUACCAAGGCAACGAUGCGUAGCCGACCUGAGAGGGUGAUCGGCCACACUGGAACUGAGACACGGUCCAGACUACUACGGGAGGCAGCAGUAGGGAAUCUUCCGCAAUGGGCGAAAGCUUGACGGAGCAGCGCCGCGUGAGUGAUGAAGGUCUUCGGAUCGUAAAAAUCUGUUAUUAGGGAAGAACAAAUGUGUAAGUAACUAUGCACGUCUUGACGGUACCUAAUCAGAAAGCCACGGCUAACUACGUG
rnacentral:rRNA from 1 species